AAGUCAUAACAAGGUCUCCGUAGGUGAACAUGCGGAGGGAUCAUUAAAGAUGCCUUCGGGCUUUUAAUACCUUAUACACCGUGAACAGUUGGGGGAACUUGUCGCAAGACUGGAACCCGAGGUCGAGAGACCUACUUUAUACAUCAAGUCAUGAACGUAACAACUAUAAACAAAUACAA
rnacentral:misc_RNA from 1 species